GAUUCUUACUAUGUUUGAAUUGUUUAUUUCUGGUAGCUUAUGAGUUGUUUUUUUUUUUGUUCUUGACAGGGAAGCUCCAGAAUUUGACCACAACUUUCCUGAAAUUUUUCAUUUUGGGUACUCCUUGAGAAGAGAAGUAAAUGCAACAUAUAAACUAUGAGGAUCAAAGGAAACUGCUGUUUCUACAUUGUGGAGGUGAGGAGAGAGGUUUGAUUCCUACUUCCAGCACUGAGAUGCUUUCCUGAAACACCUAUGAUACCAAAGUGAACAAUCAACUCAAAUUCAGGCUUCUUGUGAAAAACAACAAUUACAACCUUGCAACUUUCAAUCAGUUGGUGCACAUUUAUAGACACCCCCCACCCCAAUCCACACAUUUUGAACCAAGACCUUGUAGAAAACAGUAGAACAUGCAAUUUCAGAAAUGGAAAACAUUUACAACUCAUUUAGCUCUCAGAGUCCCUAUAACCAAGGAAACUGAGAUGUAGUGAAGUCAUGGCUUACUCUUGGUUACAGUGCUUUAAUAGUCAAGUCAGGCAUCCUGGAUGAACAUAACAUAACUUGAUCUUGCUUUUGAAGUUCAAAUAU
rnacentral:lncRNA from 1 species